UGGGGAAUAUUGGACAAUGGGCGCAAGCCUGAUCCAGCCAUGCCGCGUGUGUGAAGAAGGCCUUCGGGUUGUAAAGCACUUUCAGCGAGGAGGAAGAGUUGUGUGUUAAUAGUACACAGCUUUGACGUUACUCGCAGAAGAAGCACCGGCUAACUCUGUGCCAGCAGCCGCGGUAAUACAGAGGGUGCAAGCGUUAAUCGGAAUUACUGGGCGUAAAGCGCACGUAGGCGGUUUUUUAAGUCAGAUGUGAAAGCCCCGGGCUCAACCUGGGAAUUGCAUUUGAAACUGGAAAACUAGAGUGUGUGAGAGGGGGGUAGAAUUCCAAGUGUAGCGGUGAAAUGCGUAGAGAUUUGGAGGAAUACCAGUGGCGAAGGCGGCCCCCUGGCACAACACUGACGCUCAGGUGCGAAAGCGUGGGGAGCAAACAGG
rnacentral:rRNA from 1 species